GACGAACGCUGGCGGCGUGCCUAAUACAUGCAAGUUGAGCGCUGAAGGUUGGUACUUGUACCAACUGGAUGAGCAGCGAACGGGUGAGUAACGCGUGGGGAAUCUGCCUUUGAGCGGGGACAACAUUUGGAAACGAAUGCUAAUACCGCAUAAAAACUUUAAACACAAGUUUUAAGUUUGAAAGAUGCAAUUGCAUCACUCAAAGAUGAACCCGCGUUGUAUUAGCUAGUUGGUGAGGUAAAGGCUCACCAAGGCGAUGAUACAUAGCCGACCUGAGAGGGUGAUCAGCCACAUUGGGACUGGGACACGGCCCAAACUCCUACGGGAGGCAGCAGUAGGGAAUCUUCGGCAAUGGACGAAAGUCUGACCGAGCAACGCCGCGUGAGUGAAGAAGGUUUUCGGAUCGUAAAACUCUGUUGGUAGAGAAGAACGUUGGUGAGAGUGGAAAGCUCAUCAAGUGACGGUAACUACCCAGAAAGGGACGGCUAACUACGUG
rnacentral:rRNA from 1 species